rnacentral:piRNA from 1 species
UAGGAUUGGUUAACAUUCAUUGAAGGUAGGC